rnacentral:rRNA from 1 species
UAAUACGGAGGGUGCAAGCGUUGUUCGGAAUUACUGGGCGUAAAGCGUGUCUAGGUGGGUUUGUAAGUCAGAUGUGAAAUCCCCCGGCUUAACCGGGGAGGGUCGUUUGAAACUGCAAAUCUUGAGUUUCGGAAAGGUGGGCGGAAUUCCCAGUGUAGCAGUGAAAUGCGUAGAUAUUGGGAGGAACAUCGGAGGCGAAAGCGGCUCACCAGCCGAACACUGACACUCAAGCACGAAAGCGUGGGGAGCAAACAGG